rnacentral:rRNA from 1 species
ACCUGGUUGAUCCUGCCAGUAGUCAUAUGCUUGUCUCAAAGAUUAAGCCAUGCAUGUCUAAGUAUAAUAAACUUGUAUUUUAGAAACUGCGAAUAGCUCAUUAUAACAGUAAAUAUCUAAUUGAUGGAAACAAUUCCUAUAUGGAUAACCGUAGGAAAAUACAGCUAAUACAUGCUUAGAAACCUGAUUAUAUUUAUAUGAAAGGGUUGUAUUUAUUAGAUAAAAAAUCAUGUUUAAUGAUGAUUCAUAAUAACUAGACGAAUCCGUUCUUAAUGAAUAGAUGCUUCAAUCGAUUUUCUGCCCUAUCAACUGACGAUGGUAGUAUAGAGGACUACCAUGGUAAUAACGGGUAACGGAGAAUUAGGGUUCGAUUCCGGAGAGGGAGCCUGAGAAAUGGCUACCACUUCUAAGGAGGGCAGCAGGCGCGUAAAUUACCCAAUCCUAAUACAGGGAGGUAGUGACAAGAAAUAACGGACUGAGGCCUAUGCUUCAGGUUGCAAUGAGUAGAAUUUAAACCCCUUUUCGAGUAACAAUUGGAGGGCAAGUCUGGUGCCAGCAGCCGCGGUAAUUCCAUCUCCAAUAGCGUAUAUUUAAGUUGUUGCAGUUAAAAAGCUCGUAGUUGGAUUUCUGGUAGGAUGCUUUAAUCUGCCGUGAAGGUUUGUAUUAACAAUUUGAUUAUACCAUUAUGAAUAUUUCACAUGAGUACUUAAUUGAACUUGUGGUUCGUAAGAUCUGGAAAUUUCAUACAUUUACUGUGAGUAAAUUAGAGUGUUUAAAGCAAUCUCUUUGGAUUUUGAAUAUCAUUAGCAUGGGAUAAUAAAAUAUGAUCAUUUAAUUAUUUUUAUUGGUUUAUAAUUAAAAGAUAAUGAUUAAUAGGGAUAGUUGGGGGCGUUUAUAUUUAAUUGUCAGAGGUGAAAUUCUUAGAUUUCUUAAAGAUAAACUUCUGCGAAGGCGUUCGUCAAGGAUGUUUUCAUUAAUCAAGAACGAAAGUUAGGGGAUCGAAGACGAUCAGAUACCGUCGUAGUCUUAACCAUAAACCAUUCCUAACCAUAAACCAUGCCGACCAGCGAUUGGAAGACGUUACAUGGAUGACUCCUCCAGCAGCUUGUGAGAAAUCAUAAGUCUUUGGGUUCCGGGGGGAGUAUGGUCGCAAGGCUGAAACUUAAAGGAAUUGACGGAAGGGCACCACCAGGAGUGGAGCCUGCGGCUUAAUUUGACUCAACACGGGAAAACUUACCAGGUCCGGACAUAAUGAGGAUUGACAGAUUGAGAGCUCUUUCUUAAUUUUAUGGGUAGUGGUGCAUGGCCGUUCUUAGUUGGUGGAGUGAUUUGUCUGGUUAAUUCCGUUAACGAACGAGACCUCAUCUUACUAAAUAGUUAUAUUUAUACUUUUGUAUAGAUAGACAACUUCUUAGAAGGACUGUUGGGAACAAAAACCAAAGGAAGCUUGAGGCGAUAACAGGUCUGUGAUGCCCUUAGAUGUUCUGGGCUGCACGCGUGCUACACUGAUAAAGUCAACAAGUUUAAAACCUUAUUCGAUAGAAUUGGGUAAUCUUUUAAAACUUUAUCGUGAUGGGGAUAGAUGAUUGCAAUUUUUCAUCUUGAACGAGGAAUGCCUAGUAAGUGUAAAUCAUCAGUUUGCAUUGAUUACGUCCCUGCCCCUUGUACACACCGCCCGUCGCUGCUACCGAUUGAAUGGUCCAGUGAAAUCUUUGGAUUGUUUAUUCACACUUUCAGCAAUGGAAGUACGCUGUCGAAAAAUUGAUUAAACUUUAUCAUUUAGAGGAAGCAAAAGUCGUAACAAGGUUUCCGUAGGUGAACCAGCGGAAG